UACGUAGGGUGCGAGCGUUGUCCGGAAUUACUGGGCGUAAAGAGCUCGUAGGUGGUUUGUCGCGUCGUCUGUGAAAUUCCGGGGCUUAACUUCGGGCGUGCAGGCGAUACGGGCAAUACUUGAGUGCUGUAGGGGAGACUGGAAUUCCUGGUGUAGCGGUGGAAUGCGCAGAUAUCAGGAGGAACACCGAUGGCGAAGGCAGGUCUCUGGGCAGUAACUAACGCUGAGGAGCGAAAGCAUGGGUAGCGAACAGGAUUAGA
rnacentral:rRNA from 1 species